AGGAUGAACGCUGGCGGCGUGCCUAAUACAUGCAAGUCGAGCGAACAGACGAGGAGCUUGCUCCUCUGACGUUAGCGGCGGACGGGUGAGUAACACGUGGAUAACCUACCUAUAAGACUGGGAUAACUUCGGGAAACCGGAGCUAAUACCGGAUAAUAUAUUGAACCGCAUGGUUCAAUAGUGAAAGACGGUUUUGCUGUCACUUAUAGAUGGAUCCGCGCCGCAUUAGCUAGUUGGUAAGGUAACGGCUUACCAAGGCAACGAUGCGUAGCCGACCUGAGAGGGUGAUCGGCCACACUGGAACUGAGACACGGUCCAGACUCCUACGGGAGGCAGCAGUAGGGAAUCUUCCGCAAUGGGCGAAAGCCUGACGGAGCAACGCCGCGUGAGUGAUGAAGGUCUUCGGAUCGUAAAACUCUGUUAUUAGGGAAGAACAAAUGUGUAAGUAACUAUGCACGUCUUGACGGUACCUAAUCAGAAAGCCACGGCUAACUACGUGCCAGCAGCCGCGGUAAUACGUAGGUGGCAAGCGUUAUCCGGAAUUAUUGGGCGUAAAGCGCGCGUAGGCGGUUUUUUAAGUCUGAUGUGAAAGCCCACGGCUCAACCGUGGAGGGUCAUUGGAAACUGGAAAACUUGAGUGCAGAAGAGGAAAGUGGAAUUCCAUGUGUAGCGGUGAAAUGCGCAGAGAUAUGGAGGAACACCAGUGGCGAAGGCGACUUUCUGGUCUGUAACUGACGCUGAUGUGCGAAAGCGUGGGGAUCAAACAGGAUUAGAUACCCUGGUAGUCCACGCCGUAAACGAUGAGUGCUAAGUGUUAGGGGGUUUCCGCCCCUUAGUGCUGCAGCUAACGCAUUAAGCACUCCGCCUGGGGAGUACGACCGCAAGGUUGAAACUCAAAGGAAUUGACGGGGACCCGCACAAGCGGUGGAGCAUGUGGUUUAAUUCGAAGCAACGCGAAGAACCUUACCAAAUCUUGACAUCCUCUGACCCCUCUAGAGAUAGAGUUUUCCCCUUCGGGGGACAGAGUGACAGGUGGUGCAUGGUUGUCGUCAGCUCGUGUCGUGAGAUGUUGGGUUAAGUCCCGCAACGAGCGCAACCCUUAAGCUUAGUUGCCAUCAUUAAGUUGGGCACUCUAAGUUGACUGCCGGUGACAAACCGGAGGAAGGUGGGGAUGACGUCAAAUCAUCAUGCCCCUUAUGAUUUGGGCUACACACGUGCUACAAUGGACAAUACAAAGGG
rnacentral:rRNA from 1 species